rnacentral:rRNA from 1 species
CACCGAAUGCUUGCAUUCACCGAAAGAAGCUUAGUGGCGAACGGGUGAGUAACACGUAGGCAACCUGCCCAAAAGAGGGGGAUAACACUUGGAAACAGGUGCUAAUACCGCAUAACCAUGAACACCGCAUGAUGUUCAUGUAAAAGACGGCUUUUGCUGUCACUUUUGGAUGGGCCUGCGGCGUAUUAACUUGUUGGUGGGGUAACGGCCUACCAAGGUGAUGAUACGUAGCCGAACUGAGAGGUUGAUCGGCCACAUUGGGACUGAGACACGGCCCAAACUCCUACGGGAGGCAGCAGUAGGGAAUCUUCCACAAUGGACGAAAGUCUGAUGGAGCAACGCCGCGUGAAUGAAGAAGGUCUUCGGGUCGUAAAAUUCUGUUGUCAGAGAAGAACGUGCGUGAGAGUAACUGUUCACGUAUUGACGGUAUCUGACCAGAAAGCCACGGCUAACUACGUGCCAGCAGCCGCGGUAAUACGUAGGUGGCGAGCGUUGUCCGGAUUUAUUGGGCGUAAAGGGAACGCAGGCGGUCUUUUAAGUCUGAUGUGAAAGCCUUCGGCUUAACCGAAGUAGUGCAUUGGAAACUGGAAGACUUGAGUGCAGAAGAGGAGAGUGGAACUCCAUGUGUAGCGGUGAAAUGCGUAGAUAUAUGGAAGAACACCAGUGGCGAAAGCGGCUCUCUGGUCUGUAACUGACGCUGAGGUUCGAAAGCGUGGGUAGCAAACAGGGUUAGAUACCCUGGUAGUCCACGCCGUAAACGAUGAGUGCUAAGUGUUGGAGGGUUUCCGCCCUUCAGUGCUGCAGCUAACGCAUUAAGCACUCCGCCUGGGGAGUACGGUCGCAAGACAGCAACUCGA